rnacentral:SRP_RNA from 1 species
GCCUAAUAAGAGACUCAGCUACUCAGGAGGCUGAGCCUGGAGGACCCCUUGAGCCCAGGAGUUCUGGGCUGUAGUGUGCUAUACCAAUUGGGUGUUUGCACUAAGUUUAUUAUCAAUAUCAUGACCUCCUGGGAGUAUGGAGGCACCAGGUUGCCUAAGGAGGGGUGAACAGGCCCUGGUCAGAAAUGGAGCAGGUUAGAAUUUCUGUGAUGAUUAGCAGUGGGAUCGUUCCUGUGAAUAGCCACUGCACUCCAACCUGGGCAACAGAGUGAUUCCUGUCUGA